rfam:Clostridium pasteurianum DSM 525 = ATCC 6013, complete genome.
GCAAUCCUACCAGGUAGAACUUAACCAGUAGCCUGUACCUAGUUCCUUGGAGCCGAAAUGGUAACAUUAGGUUUAAGUGUAGGGCGGGGAGCAAACGAGCCGAAACGAAAGUGAAGCUAUUGAGCCACGAAAUUAUUAUUUAAAUGAAGAGGUCGAUACUGUUCUAGUGGUAGCAGACAAUAUUUUAUGAAUCGUUAUGGUGAGAUUUGUAAAACUCUUCCGAGGUCUGAGGGCU